AAAAAUAGAAUUUAGAGUAAUUUCUGCGCGAAAAUAUGUUUAUGUUAAGAAAUUGAAAAUAUUUGUCGUUUAUCGUCUUGUGACGUCAUUCAUCGCCUUCCGUACAGUGUGACGUUAAUUAUUUAAUUAGUUAUUCAUAAAAUAACAUUAUUUUUUA